ensembl:lncRNA
ACUAAACCAGGUCUAAAUCAGGACUAAACCAGGACUAAACCAGGUCUAAACCAGGUCUAAACCAGGUCUAAACCAGGUCUAAACCAGGACUAAACCAGGACUAAACCAGGACUAAACCAGUAUUAAACCAGGACUAAACCAGGACUAAACCAGGUCUAAACCAGGUCUAAACCAGGUCUAAACCAGGUCUAAACCAGGACUAAACCAGGACUAAACCAGGACUAAACCAGGAUUAAACCAGGUCUAAACCAGGACUAAACCAGGUCUAAACCAGGACUAAACCAGGUCUAAACCAGGACUAAACCAGGUCUAAACCAGGUCUAAACCAGGUCUAAACCAGGUCUAAACCAGGACUAAACCAGGUCUAAACCAGGACUAAACCAGGAUUAAACCAGGUCUAAAUCAGGACUAAACCAGGACUAAACCAGGUCUAAACCAGGUCUAAACCAGGUCUAAACCAGGACUAAACCAGGUCUAAACCAGGACUAAACCAGGACUAAACCAGGUCUAAACCAGGUCUAAACCAGGACUAAACCAGGACUAAACCAGGACUAAACCAGGUCUAAACCAGGACUAAACCAGGACUAAACCAGGACUAAACCAGGACUAAACAGGACUAAACCAGGACU